CAACAUCACAGGGUGACAGCCGUAGGCUUUUCCCAGGGAUGGAGACGGCGGAGCUCAGAGCCUAGUAAACAAAGAACAGCGGGACAAUGACCAUUCUAGAAGAGAACCAAUCAGGUUUCCCACUGGUUACUGGUAGGUGGGUAUGGAAUCCUAUCCUCCUUCAGAAUAGAGGAACUUAGGAGAUCGUACUCUCUGUUCUCAGCCUCCAGCUGAACCCAUUCCAUAUCUGUUUUUUUUUUCCAAAACCAGGAGUCAAUCUUUGGGAGGCUACUUUAUAGUCCUCCUGACUUUUCUUCUGCUCCCAUCACAGUGCUCUCUUCUGAGGCGAAUUCUUCAUUCUGGUGACACUUCAAAAACAACAAGCCAUUAUCUCUGUCAGAGGACUUUGAUGCAAACAACAAAAAUUGUGAGUAAAUUAAGAAAAAAGAAUUUACUGGAAGGAUACAGACUUGAAGGCUGGAGAGUUGGAUAUGGAAAAUGAGUUGCAACCUAGGAAAGCCAGGCCGCAGGCACCACAACGAAGUCUGUGCCUCAGGAAUGAUCUGGAAUGGCCACCAUCACUAUGAUUCAGAGUUCAGAGAAGUGUGUCCAGGUGGCCAACCCUGGGUCACAAGUCAUGUUCUGGCUGCGGGGGGUCAGGGAGAAUAUCUCCCUGCUUCAGCUUCCCCAGUCUCAGCAAUACUGCAAAUACAGCAUAGAAUGGAGCAUUCCGCCAAGUAAGAAGGACCCCAGAUGCUGAUGGUAAACUAAAUAAAACAAAUUAUCCACCACGCCCUCA